rnacentral:lncRNA from 1 species
GCUGCUUUGGAAGCAGGCUCUAUACGAAUCUAUGUCUAACUUCAGCAGUCUGAGUCUUUUCUCAAGAGAGCAACAUUCCUUAAAUGCAGUGUUAAAGAUGAAAAACACAGUCCUGUGGAUCACCAAGUCCAGAUUUGGACAAAGAAAAACUAGUUCAGGGCUGAGACUGAGAGCUGAUACAUUUCAAGGAGGACCGGCCGGCUGCACUUG